AUAUGCCAAAAUGCAUGAUUCCAGAAUUCCAAACCAAAACCCUCCUCGAAGGGCGUAAAUCAUAAUUGUACAGCCUCUCACAGACCAGUACUAAUUACCAAGGUGCAAUCUCUCACGGAUCAGCACGAUUUACUAGCGUGCAGUCUCUCACAGACCAGCACGACAUACAAGAGUGCAGUCGCUCACAGACCAGCACAAUUUACUA
rnacentral:lncRNA from 1 species